rnacentral:rRNA from 1 species
CAAGUCGAACGCGAAAGUCCCCUUCGGGGGACAAGUAGAGUGGCGCACGGGUGAGUAACACGUAGGUAAUCUACCUUCGGAUGGGGAAUAACAACCGGAAACGGUUGCUAAUACCGCAUAAUGCAGCGGCACCUAAUGGUGACAGUUGUUAAAGCGGGGGAUCGAAAGACCUCGCGUCUGAAGAGGAGCCUGCGGCGGAUUAGCUAGUUGGUAGGGUAACGGCCUACCAAGGCGACGAUCCGUAGCCGGCCUGAGAGGGCGGUCGGCCACACUGACACUGACAUACGGGUCAGACUCCUACGGGAGGCAGCAGUCGGGAAUUUUGGGCAAUGGGCGAAAGCCUGACCCAGCAACGCCGCGUGAAGGAUGAAAUCCCUCGGGAUGUAAACUUCGCAAGAACGGGAAGAAUAAGUAGGGGACAAUACCCCCUAUGAUGACGGUACCGUUUGUAAGCUCCGGCUAACUCCGUGCCAGCAGCCGCGGUAAUACGGGGGGAGCAAGCGUUGUUCGGAUUUACUGGGCGUAAAGGGCGCGUAGGCGGCCUCCGCAAGUCAGUUGUGAAAUCUCCGAGCUUAACUCGGAAAGGUCAACUGAUACUGCGGGGCUAGAGUGCGGAAGGGGCAACUGGAAUUCUUGGUGUAGCGGUGAAAUGCGUAGAUAUCAAGAGGAACACCUGCGGCGAAGGCGGGUUGCUGGGCCGACACUGACGCUGAGGCGCGAAAGCUAGGGGAGCGAACGGGAUUAGAUACCCCGGUAGUCCUAGCCUUAAACGAUGAAUGCUUGGUGUCUGGGGUUAUAUAGUCCCCGGGUGCCGUC